GAUGAACGCUGGCGGCGUGCCUAAUACAUGCAAGUCGAACGAAACUUCUUUAUCACCGAGUGCUUGCACUCACCGAUAAAGAGUUGAGUGGCGAACGGGUGAGCAACACGUGGGCAACCUGCCCAAAAGAGGGGGAUAACACUUGGAAACAGGUGCUAAUACCGCAUAACCAUAGUUACCGCAUGGUAACUAUGUAAAAGGUGGCUAUACUACCGCUUUUGGAUGGGCCCGCGGCGCAUUAGCUAGUUGGUAGGGUAAAGGCUUACCAAGGCAAUGAUGCGUAGCCGAAUUGAGAGGUUGAUCGGCCACAUUGGGACUGAGACACGGCCCAAACUCCUACGGGAGGCAGCAGUAGGGAAUCUUCCACAAUGGGCGAAAGCCUGAUGGAGCAACGCCGCGUGGGUGAAGAAGGUCUUCGGAUCGUAAAACCCUGUUGUUAGAGAAGAAAGUGCGUGAGAGUAACUGUUCACGUUUCGACGGUAUCUAACCAGAAAGCCACGGCUAACUACGUG
rnacentral:rRNA from 1 species